GCUUCUUUGAUGACGAGUGGCGGACGGGUGAGUAAUGCUUGGAAAUCGACCUUAUGGAGGGGGAUAACUACGGGAAACUGUGCCUAAACCCGCGAAUAAUCCAGAGAUGAAAGUGUGGGACCUUCGGGCCACAUGCCAUAAGAUGAGCCCAAGUGGGAUUACGUAGUUGGUGAGGUAAAGGCUCACCAAGCCGACCAUCUCUAGCUGGUCUGAGAGGAUGACCAAACACACUGGAACUGAUACACGGCCCACACUCCUACGGCAGGCAGCAGUGGGGAAUAUUGCGCGAUGGGGGCAACCCUGACCCGGCCAUGCCGCGUGAAUGAAGAAGGCCUUCGCGGUUGUAAAGUUCUUUCUGUAGCGAGGAAAGCAUUUAGUUUAAUAGACUAAGUGAUUGACUGUAACUACAGAAGAAGCACCGGUUAACUCCGUGCCACCACCCUGGGAAAUACUGAGGGUGCGAGCGUUAAUCGGAAUAAUUGGACGUAAAGGGCACGCAGGCGGUGACUUAAGUGAGGUGUGAAAGCCCCGGGCUUAACCUGGGAAUUGUAUUUCAU
rnacentral:rRNA from 1 species